GUGCAGCAGUCGCGAAACCUCCGCAAUGCGGGAAACCGCGACGGGGGACCCCGAGUGCCGUGGCAACGCCACGGCUUUUCCGGAGUGUAAAAAGCUCCGGGAAUAAGGGCUGGGCAAGGCCGGUGGCAGCCGCCGCGGUAAUACCGGCGGCCCGAGUGGUGGCCGCUAUUAUUGGGCCUAAAGCGUCCGUAGCCGGGCCCGUAAGUCCCUGGCGAAAUCCCACGGCUCAACCGUGGGGCUUGCUGGGGAUACUGCGGGUCUUGGGACCGGGAGAGGCGGGGGGUACCCCUGGGGUAGGGGUGAAAUCCUAUAAUCCCAGGGGGACCGCCAGUGGCGAAGGCGCCCCGCUGGAACGGGUCCGACGGUGAGGGACGAAGGCCAGGGGAGCAAACCGGAUUAGAUACCCGUGUAGU
rnacentral:rRNA from 1 species